ACAUUUAUUGGGCACUCUGCAGCAGGUGCGGUGGUAGGUGCUCAGUAAAUCUGUGCUCUGAAAGCUCCUCAUCCCCAUUAUUACAGUGUGUGGCCUUGUUUCACCCAGGCAGGGAUAGCCAUUUGUGUUGAGAGAAGCCAGAGGGGCAGGGAGUUCUCUGAUGGGGAUGAGACAGAUGCAGUAUCAUCCACAUCAAGACAAAGCCGUCCCCAGAAUGCACCAUCCUAAAGGACGUGCACUGAAUUGGGAAUGAGGAACUACGGUUUCAAGUCCUGAUUCACUCACUAACUGGUUGGGGGUCUUAGGUGACUCAUGCCACCUCUGUGAGUCAUGGUCUCUCCAUUGUGACGGUUAGAUAAUGCUGUGCCUCUAAAAUGCUUUCAGGACCAUUGCUGGAAAGAGUAUGCACUUAGUAAGUGUUGAAUGAAUGACUGAAGGAAUGAGGGAACAUUCUGUGAUUCUCAGUGCUAGAGUAGAACUCGAACAGGUCAGGUGAGUAGGUAGAGGUAAGUGUAAAUGAAGACAAAGGAGAAACCUCCCUUUCCUCUCCUUGGCAGCCCGCUCCUGCCACGUCAGCCCCUUCACCUCACCUGUUCCUAGGGGGGCUCUCAUAUCCUCUGCCUCCCUGAGCCAGAGAGGUACCGCCUUUGAGGCCUAGAAGCCAGCCGGUCCUGGGUGGGAAUCUCCAGGACAUCCCAGCAAUGUGUAAAAGGGAUCUAAUUACACAGGGCUACUAUGAAGUAACUCAGAGGAUGUAUGGAAAGCACCUGUUACCAUGUCCUGAUGCACAGUGUAUUCACCCCAUAAAUGCCACCUUUCGAGGCAGUUGUCAUAUCCGCAUCUUCCAGAAGAGGAAUCUGUGGUCAGAUGGGGUAACAGGCCCAGGGAGGGGCAGAGCGUUCUUGGAGUGCCCCUGAUGUAUUCGUCUCUUCUGAGGUAGGUAUUGUGGGGAGAUGUGGGGCCAGCCCUCCACACUGGCAGCCUGUCCUCCCUCUCGCUCUAUGUCACACACACAUAGACACACACGCACACGGUGCAUGCCCCCUCAGCACUUACUGAGCUCCUCCCCCCCCCACCCCCCCAGGCAUCUUCUGCCAACGUCAGUCACCUAAUGAAAGCAUCACACAGUAACUUGGGCUGAUAAGAACUUCCACCGUUACAAAAAUGGUCUUAGAAGUAAAAGUUCCCCUUAGAUACAAAGAACCACACUUGACAAGGUUUUUUUCCUUGUAACUGCUCUUUCCCACAGAAACUAAUUCUAUCUUAGGUGUUGCUUUGCAUUUAACAGUUUAUCUCCGAAACCUUGCUAUAAUCAGUACAGGUCCAUCUGGCGUGCUUUGACUGCCUUCAGAAAAUCAGGUACUCAGAAAUGUUCAUGUCCCCCUAGCAGGUGAACAUUUUUUAUAUAAUCGCAAUACUGAUUGUUAGCAAGGGUGCAGAUAAAUGGACAAUCUUAUGUGCUGCAAGUGGGCAUAUAAACAGGAAUAGUACAGAACUUAAAAGGGCUUUUCCCCUCAUCUUUUGUCGUCAUAAAUACCUAUAGUAUUCACGAAGGCAACUUGGAAACGUGUCUAAACAAUGUGGCUUAAAAAAUCAUCUCAUCCCGGGGCGCCUGGGUGGCUCAGUUGGUUAAGCGACUGCCUU